GACGAACGCUGGCGGCGUGCUUAACAUAUGCAAGUCGAACGGAAAGGCCCUGCUUUUGUGGGGUGCUCGAGUGGCGAACGGGUGAGUAACACGUGAGUAACCUGCCCUUGACUUUGGGAUAACUUCAGGAAACUGGGGCUAAUACCGGAUAGGAGCUCCUGCUGCAUGGUGGGGGUUGGAAAGUUUCGGCGGUUGGGGAUGGACUCGCGGCUUAUCAGCUUGUUGGUGAGGUAGUGGCUUACCAAGGCUUUGACGGGUAGCCGGCCUGAGAGGGUGAACGGCCACAUUGGGACUGAGAUACGGCCCAGACUCCUACGGGAGGCAGCAGUGGGGAAUAUUGCACAAUGGGCGGAAGCCUGAUGCAGCAACGCCGCGUGCGGGAUGACGGCCUUCGGGUUGUAAACCGCUUUCGCCUGUGACGAAGCGUGAGUGACGGUAAUGGGUAAAGAAGCACCGGCUAACUACGUG
rnacentral:rRNA from 1 species